GUGCAGAUGCAAGAAAAAAGGGUCAUCGCGCUUUCUGUCUGUCUGAUUGUGGCAGCCAAGAUUGAAUGGGGGAGUACAGUG
ensembl:snoRNA